rnacentral:lncRNA from 1 species
UUUAAAAUAAGAACAUUACUGAAUUACGGAACUUAUCAUAUUUACUCCGGAAUAAGUUUUAUAAUUACUUAGUCCAUGGGAGAUAAUUUUGAGUGUAAAUUUAUAUCGCUAAAUAUUCUGAAGACGCACAAUCUUCAAAACCCUAAUUUUACUGAAUACUUAAAUAAGUUUGACUUGCAGAAAUUGCAGAAAUGUUUGAAGCCUGGAGACUGAGGUAUUCAUUAUGUAAUGUAGCUGUAUUGUGAUUUAAUAUGUUAAUAUUUUGAAUGCUUAGAAUUGAGGUUGAUUCAGAAAGUAAAAAUACAUAUCAUUACUUUUAUGUUAUUGGCAAGUCUUGCAUACAACAUUUUAAUUAUUAGAAAUAUAUUUAGUAAUGCAAUUAAAGAAAAUAUGCGAGUUAAGCUCUUGAGUUAGGUCCACCCC